rnacentral:rRNA from 1 species
GGCUUAAAUGGGAAUUGAUCGGUUUAGAAAUAGACCUUCCUUCGGGCAAUUUUCAAGGUGCUGCAUGGUUGUCGUCAGCUCGUGCCGUGAGGUGUUAGGUUAAGUCCUGCAACGAGCGCAACCCCUGUCACUAGUUGCCAUCAUUCAGUUGGGGACUCUAGUGAGACUGCCUACGCAAGUAGAGAGGAAGGUGGGGAUGACGUCAAAUCAUCACGGCCCUUACGCCUUGGGCCACACACGUAAUACAAUGGCCGGUACAGAGGGCAGCUACACAGCGAUGUGAUGCAAAUCUCGAAAGCCGGUCUCAGUUCGGAUUGGAGUCUGCAACUCGACUCUAUGAAGCUGGACUCGCUAGUAAUCGCGCAUCAGCCAUGGCGCGGUGAAUACGUUCCCGGGCCUUGUACACACCGCCCGUCAAGCCAUGGAAGUCUGGGGUACCUGAAGUCGGUGACCGUAAAAGGAGCUGCCUAGGGUAAAACAGGUAACUAGGGCUAAGUCGUAACAAGGUAACC